GACGAACGCUGGCGGCGUGCUUAACACAUGCAAGUCGAACGAUGAAGCGGUGCUUGCACCGUGGAUUAGUGGCGAACGGGUGAGUAAUACGUGAGUGACCUACCUUUGACUCUGGGAUAAGCCUGGGAAACUGGGUCUAAUACCGGAUACGACCAAUCUCUGCAUGGGGUGUUGGUGGAAAGCGUUAUGGAGUGGUUUUAGAUGGGCUCACGGCCUAUCAGCUUGUUGGUGAGGUAAUGGCUUACCAAGGCGACGACGGGUAGCCGGCCUGAGAGGGUGACCGGCCACACUGGGGCUGAGACACGGCCCAGACUCCUACGGGAGGCAGCAGUGGGGAAUAUUGCACAAUGGGCGCAAGCCUGAUGCAGCGACGCCGCGUGAGGGAUGACGGCCUUCGGGUUGUAAACCUCUGUUAGCAUCGAAGAAGCGAAAGUGACGGUAGGUGCAGAGAAAGCGCCGGCUAACUACGUG
rnacentral:rRNA from 1 species